UGUGUGUCAACAACGCACGUUGAAUACGUCCCUGCCCUUUGUACACACCGCCCGUCGCUCCUACCGAUUGGAUGACUCGGUGAAAUCACCGGAUGCUUACGAGCAGAAAGUGAUUAAAUCACGUUAUCUAGAGGAAGGAGAAGUCGUAACAAGGUAACGGUAGGUGAACCUGCCGUUGGAUCAGUU
rfam:Trichomonas vaginalis G3, whole genome shotgun sequence.